UACGGAGGGUGCAAGCGUUAUCCGGAUUCACUGGGUUUAAAGGGUGCGUAGGAGGGCAGGGAAGUCAGUGGUGAAAUCUCCGAGCUUAACUCGGAAACUGCCGUUGAUACUCUCUGUCUUGAAUACCGUGGAGGUGAGCGGAAUAUGUCAUGUAGCGGUGAAAUGCUUAGAUAUGACAUAGAACACCAAUUGCGAAGGCAGCUCACUACGCGAAUAUUGACACUGAGGCGCGAAAGCGUGGGGAUCAAACAGG
rnacentral:rRNA from 1 species